rnacentral:tRNA from 1 species
AGUGUAGCUCAGUGUUAAGAGUUCAAGUUUGACACACAUGAGGCCCUGGGUUUGAUUCCCAGCACU